rnacentral:misc_RNA from 1 species
AAGUCGUAACAAGGUUUCCGUAGGUGAACCUGCGGAAGGAUCAUUACCAUAUCCAAAAAAAAACUUUACCAACCCACCGUGUGCACUGUUGUUUUUUCCGUGGCAAGAAGGCUAACGUUGUGAAGGUUUUUAUUUUUGAUAAAGAACAGAAAACCUUGCAGCUCGGUUUUGUUGCCAACGUGAAAACAUUUCCAAUUCAACCCCUGGUCAAACCAACUCUAUACAAACCUGACGUGUGUGUUUUUUUUAAAAAAACAGGCUAGCGGUGUUAAAAAAACAAUCUUACGAUUUCUUUUUUAUAUUGCCACCUGUCUUGAAAAUAAAAACCACAACAAAACCAAAACCAAUAGACAACUUAUAACGGUGGAUCUCUUGGCUCGU